GUGGGGAAUAUUGGACAAUGGGCGCAAGCCUGAUCCAGCCAUGCCGCGUGAGUGAUGAAGGCCCUAGGGUUGUAAAGCUCUUUCACCGGAGAAGAUAAUGACGGUAUCCGGAGAAGAAGCCCCGGCUAACUUCGUGCCAGCAGCCGCGGUAAUACGCAGGGGGCUAGCGUUGUUCGGAAUUACUGGGCGUAAAGCGCACGUAGGCGGACAUUUAAGUCAGGGGUGAAAUCCCGGGGCUCAACCCCGGAACUGCCUUUGAUACUGGGUGUCUGGAGUAUGGAAGAGGUAAGUGGAAUUCCGAGUGUAGAGGUGAAAUUCGUAGAUAUUCGGAGGAACACCAGUGGCGAAGGCGGCUUACUGGUCCAUUACUGACGCUGAGGUGCGAAAGCGUGGGGAGCAAACAGGAUUAGAUACCCCAGUAGUCC
rnacentral:rRNA from 1 species